UACGUAGGGUGCAGGCGUUAAUCGGAAUUACUGGGCGUAAAGGGUGCGUAGGCCGCACGGUAAGUCAGAGGUGAAAUCCCGGAGCUCAACUUCGGAAUUGCCUCCGAUACUGCCGUGCUUGAGGACUGGAGAGGAGUCUGGAAUUCACAGUGGAGCAGUGAAAUGCGUAGAUAUUGUGAGGAACACUAGUGGCGAAGGCGAGACUCUGGACAGUUCCUGACGCUGAGGCACGAAGGCCAGGGGAGCAAACGGG
rnacentral:rRNA from 1 species